rnacentral:rRNA from 1 species
CCUACGGGAGACAGCAGUAGGGAAUAUUGCUCAAUGGGGGAAACCCUGAAGCAGCAACGCCGCGUGGAGGAUGAAGGUUUUAGGAUUGUAAACCCCUUUUGUUAGAGAAGAUUAUGACGGUAUCUACCGACUACUCACCGGCUAACUCCGUGCCAGCAGCCGCGGUCAUACGGAGGGUGCAAGCGUUACUCGGAAUUACUGGGCGUAAAGGGUGCGUAGGCGGGGUAAUAAGUCAGAUGUGAAAUCCUGUAACUUAACUACAGACCUGCAUUUGAAACUGUGACUCUGGAGUGUGAGAGAGGUAGGUGGAAUUCGUGGUGUAGGGGUAAAAUCCGUAGAGAUUAAGAGGAAUACUCAUUGCGAAGGCGACCUGCUGGAACAUGACUGACGCUGAUGCACGAAAGCGUGGGGAGCAAACAGGAUUAGAUACCCUUGUAGUC